UGUGUCUCAGUGGGACACUCCAGUCCCAACUCUUUGUGGGCCCUCUGGCCCUGACUCUAUGGACCCAAAGGCCCUAACUCUGAUAACUCUGAAUCAUGCAUAUCACAUAUGACAAUAAAUCUCAAUACAUAAAUAGCAUACAAAUACACUGGCAUGUAAUUCUAAAAAUACCACAUAUAACACAUAUUAACCACUCAAGCCUAGAACUCUGUGGGCCCUUGGGCCCUAACUCUGCGGACCCUCUGGUCCUAGCUCUGUGGACCUUCCGGUCCUAACUCUGAUAUACACAUAGCAUAAAUCACAUAGAAAUAAUGCAGUGCCACACUUCACAUAGAUAGCAUAAAAUAUCUCUAACACAUAACUGUAUUACUACUCUAGGUAAAGUAUAGUGAGAAGACUCACCUCUGGUAGCUCGGUAAAUCUCUGACUCGGUAAACUUUCGUCUAGCCUCCACCUAAUCACAUGAAAUAAGUACCUUAUUUAAUAUAACUCUCCAAGGAUAGACUAUGUCCUCUUAUGUCACUCUCAGAUGGGUAAAAGACUAUUUUACCCCUCUCAUAGCUCAAAAGGCCCCACAAUAGACCAUACCCUAAAAGUCAACCAAAAGUCAACUUUCCGGGUUACGCUGAGCAUACCAGAUGUGUACGCUGAGCGUACCUAGCUGCCUCUCAGAAUCGGGGAACGCUACCCAGUACGCGGCGCGUACUGGGAUUACGCCCUGUAAUCCCCUACUUCACCCUUUUAGCUCUUGAGGUCUUAAACACUUAAGACCCACACCCAACUUCUAGAUCUGACCACUUCUAAGCCCCUUAAUCCAUAAAGUUGAUGACUUGAAGCCUUUGCAUGGCUGAAUAAGUCAACAACUGCCAUAAUAUUCCAUUCUCUAACUCUAGAAAGCUUAUUACUCAAGACCUCAUAUCAACAACCAAGAUGGAAACUUUAUGGAUCUAAACCACUAAUACCACUGAAAAGGGACAUAUCUCGGAUCAUGGAGCACCAUACACUCAUAAAGUCUCCAGCUUUGGGGUUUUUAGCCCUAGAAAUGAUUCAAGAAACAAUAAACUAAAGGAGAGGAAAGUUUUGAACUUUAUACCUCUAAGUGUAGCCCCUUUCUCUAUAGAUCUCAGAUCCAAGCUUGCACUUCAAGGUUUAGCCUCCAAAAGCUCCUUUCCUUCUUCUUCACUAAGCCACCAAUGGACAAUUAGCUCCAACAACACUCACACACACACACCAAGAACGAUGGGAGGCUUUCUCUUUGGGUUUCACUCACUAAUAUGGAGGCUGAGAAAUGAGCCUUAGCACCCUUUAAAUAGUGCACAAGCCAGAUUAGGGUUUUGCACCUGGGCUGGGUACGCCCCGCGUAACUCUGGUUACACCCAACAUACCUUGGCGACUCCGCGUCCAAAUUAAGCGCAUGAGUACGCCCAGCGUACUCAUCUGCCACAUUUUCCAAUAAAGGACUAAACUUGACCACAAAAGAAAAGAAGGGGGGUUAAAUAGCUGCACCUGAACCUUGGGAUGUUACAAUUCUCCCCCACUAGAACCAGACUUCGCCCUCGAAUUCUCAUACAGAAAACAACUUUGGAUGUUGCUCCCGCAUUUCUGACUCUGACUCCCAAGUCAGCUUGGACCCCCUUCGAUGUGGUCACUAAACCAGAACCAAGAGCACCUCCUUGUUCCUCAGAACGUUGAUCCUUCGAUCCACAAUCGCGAUUGGCCUUUCAGUAUAAAUCAAGCUCGCAUCCACCUGAAUAUCCUCUAGAGGCACCAUUGCCGACUAGUCGGCUACACACUUUCUCAGCUGGGACACAUGGAAGGUGUCGUGAAUCUGGCUCAACUCCGCAGGCACCUCCUAACAAUAUGCUACCCUACCCACCCUCGCGAUCCCUCUAAAUGGACCAAUAUACCGGGGCCCUAGCUUGCCUCUCUUCCUGAACCAGGUCACUCCUUUCCAAGGAGAUACCUUCAGGAGCACAAAAUCUCUGACCAGAAACUCAAGCUCGGACCGACGCAUAUCCGCAUAAUUCCUCUGGCGACUCUGAGUGGUCAACUACCUCUGUCUGACCUACUGUAUCUGCUCUGACGUUUGAAGCACUAUCUCUGUACUACCCAUCACACGUUGCCCUACCUCCUCCCAGCAAAUGGGAGUCCGACACCUCCUCCCUUACAACAACUCAAAAGGUGGCAUAUCGAUGCUCGAAUGAUGGUUGUUGGUAUUUAAAACUCAACCUAGGGUAAAUACGUGUCAUAACUCCCUCCGAAAUCUAAUACACAUACCCGAAGCACGUCCUCGGGCGUCAGAAUCGUUCACUCGCUCUGGAGUGUCCUCAGACAUCACCAUGAUCAGCUCUAGUUCCUUUCUCAUAUCCCUCUUCGAUACUGAGCUCCAGUUCAGCUUUUGACUCCACAGCAGAACCUCCAAAGGUGACCCAUAUCAUGAUCCAAAAUAUCUCACUAACUUCCUCCCAUGACCACUAUCCCAACCCAGUGACACGCAAGUCAUAAAAUUCUCUUUUCCUUAUGCGAAAAAUACAAUCCAACCGAGGAUCAACUCAACUCUGACCUCUGGUGUCUGCUGCGCAUAUCCCUCGCGCAUCUCGCCGAAUCUCCCGACAGAGACAAAGACCCCAGUCUCGCCCCCUGGUUCAACCACCAGGCUCCAAAACUCAAUAUUAGGGCUACUCAAGCCCAAAACUCUUCCACAUCAUACAUUGAUCGGAGAACACCCAUCACCACACUCUCUUGCCGUCUAGUGAGUACUAUGGCUCCCCGCAACAUCACAACUCCCUCUGACUAGUGAGUACUACGGCUCCCCGUAGUUUCACAACACCCUCUGACUAGUGAGUACUACGGCUCCCCGCAAUAUCAUAACACCCUCUGACUAGUGAGUACUACGGCUCCCCGCAGUAUCACAACACCAUCUGACUAGUGAGUACUACGGCUUCGCAUAGUAUCACAACACCCUCUAACUAGUGAGUACUACGGCUCCCCGCAGUAUCACAACACCCUCUACAUCCACUAACUCAUGCUCCGCAGACUAUCAUAGGUAGCUACCCAUACUCGACCCGAAUAUGCACCACAGACUCUGGCGGCAAUCGACAUAACAGAAUACCUACCUUUGCGGAGAUCCACUUUCUUAAAUAAUUCCUCUUGAUGCUAAUAUUCGAAGGGCUCCCACUAGAACCGUGGAUACAUGAUGCACCACUAGUUGUCUCAAACUCAAGAUUCUAAGUAACUCCGAAAUCGAGACAUUAUACACGGGUACCACGGAACACCAUUACAGAACAUCACAAUGUCCUGCCUCAACCACUGAUCUUCUACCCCCAGCAGCAUACAGAUACAACAAUACAUUUCCUCUGAUCCCCAUAAAUAAUUCUCCAUUUUACCGAAUGCGCAACUUCAGUGUAUCCAAACACUCAAUUGGAAUACAAAGAAAGCGCUAAUGCUUCAGAACACGCUGACGAUCCUCCGAAACCCUUUUCCUUUCCUUGAUCACCAAUGAACCUGAUCCCAUGAAUUCGAGCCGCAGGUUUCUGUGUCUAACCCUUAACCACUCUUGCACAAAUAUUUGGUUCCCUAAAAAAUACCCAGUUCUCCCCCACUAGGGUUCGAACCAUCACCAAUUGACGCAUCAACACUCUACCCCACAGACGGUUUCCUCUAGAAACAUCACACCUCCGCUCGGAAGGUGCCACACAAUGCCCAAUGAUCUCCCCACGCAAAGAUCAAGAAACCUCAAAUACCCUAAAUCUCUGAAGAAAUCCGCAAGAACUUCUCAUCCCGACGGCCUCUAUCCAUUCGAAGUCUCAAACCCUCCCGAUACUGAACAUUCCAACUGUUCAGUACUAUCUUUGACUCUUAGACUUGAAACAAUAAAUCAUCAUACUCCUCAUUUUCGACUUCUCAAUCCCCGCUCCAACACGUGAAUCAUCACGAGAAUAAGGACUCCACUUCCAUGCUCAACACCCAUCAUAGACAGAAGAGCCACCGCUCUAAUAUACUCGACUGGAUUACCCGCUGAUACCGCUACCACACGCUCUACUAUACUCAAUGUAAUGUGAUCCUUGACCAUCUCAGUCCCCACUGACUACUUGCCCAUGGUAGUUUAUUUCCUCGUGGCAGACACGCUGCCUGAUACUCUGGUGGAAAAACAUCGACAUCAAUGUCAACCCAUAGGGUUUACUCCUAAACCCAAAACUAAAAUCUCACGCCUCUCCUACUCCCAUUGAAAAUAUAAAUAACACCCAACAAGUCACAGAAGGUGACAUCUCCUCCUUCGGAUGUUUGUUCACUCAGUCCGCAAUUCCUCAUAAAUUCCUUCUCCACCAAUCCCUGAGUCUUGCGACUACAUCUGAAAUCUUACCAAGGUACUCUGAAAUGCUCCUGAACUCCCUCUCAAGGGAUGCCUCUUCGGACUUGAUCAUGGCCCUCAGGCCUAAAAUCCCAUCGCGUCCAAUUUCCACCAAUCAAUCCUGAUCGGAUAACCAGAAAUUCACAAGCAUCAUUUGCUAAGAACCAUGGUAUUCAGCCCCGGACGUCUCUUCUCAAUCUGCCACAAUGCAUGGUACACGAACCAUAACAUCACUCCCCAAUCUGCUCCGAUGUACGGUACUCGAACCAUAACAUCACUCCUUAAUCUGCUCCGAUGUAUGGUACUCGAACCAUAACAUCACUCCUCAAUCUGCUCCGAUCUAUGGUACUCGAACCAUAACAUCACUCCUCAAUCUACUCCGAUGUAUGGUACUCGAACCAUAACAUCACUAUGGUACUCGAACCAUAACAUCACUCCUCAAUCUGCUCAGAUGUAUGGUACUCGAACCAUAACAUCACUCCUCAAUCUGCUCCGAUGUAUGGUACUCGAACCAUAACAUCACUCCUCAAUCUGCUCCGAUAUAUGGUACUCGAACCAUAACAUCACUCCUCAAUCUGCUCCGAUAUAUGGUACUCGAACCAUAACAUCACUCCUCAAUCUACUACUUAGAACCUUCAGAAUACCCCCUGUAUCGAUUAUGGGUCCUCUGCUUUCGGUAGUAUGGGCCCAUACUACCUGCCACAUCUACCCAUACUUUCCACACGGACCAAUCCAGAGCUCCUAAGUAGCUGCUCAACCUUUUUGUUUACUAAUUCCGCCACGCGUGCUCGCUCCUCAGCGAAAUGCUCUACUCUGCCAGCGUACUCAUCUGGCUAAGGUCACUCCCUAGGCUCUUCCUUGGUCCUCCCACUUGUCCGCCAUCAGCUGGUGAAGAGCUCCUAAUGAUCCCAGUCAUCUACCUUCUGAAUAUCGUCAUAUUCAUUUGGUAGUUGACUCCCAUCAUCAAGAGUUCCACAAAGCAUGAAGCAAGCAGCAUUCGGGCAUCGAAGAAUACAUAGGCCUCACUAUGGGUGAUAACUCUGCUUGCUCUGCUCUCUCUCAGAAGUACCACUGAACUCUUCAACUCUACCCCUCGCGGGUUCUUAGUAUUCUUUCAAUAAGCACCACACUCUCAUCUAGGCGUCUCUCCUAGAUUACUCCUCUACUCAAAUCCCCUAAAAGGAUUUCCACUGAACAUUCUCACUCACACACAAAAGCACAUCACAUAUAACAGCAACUCCUAGGCUAAGGCAUCACAAAUCAGGCCACUCUAGUCCUAAGAUAUGAAGUACCUAGGCUGUCUCUAGCAUGCAUAAUAUCUCAUAAAGUGCACCACAAAUAUCUCAAAACUCAAAUGUAAGGGUAUUUUGGGAAAUCACCGUUCGGGCUCUGGCUGAUUGUACACACUACUCUUUGUCGCUUUCUCUUUGAACUCUUAUUCACUUUUAGAAACUCAUUUUUUUGAAAAAUUUUCGUACUCCCUCAGUUUGAGUCCAUAUUUACCAGAAGGAGCAUCUGAAUCCCUCAAACCAAGGCUCUAAUACCAAAUUGUAACGCCAAAAUUUUCAAACAAAAUUUUGAUUUAAAAUCGCUUAUCUCUUGACCACUUUUCAUAAAAAUCCCGUUUUUGUUUAAGUUACAAUACAUGACUAUUUUGUUCAUUCAAUUAAUAAACCAGGAUCCUCAAAAUAAACGCUUCCUCCGGUGUGUACAAUCGAGCCGGUGCCGUCCCGUGAUCCUGAGAAAAACCUGAAACACAUAACACAAACGCUGUAAGCACGGAGCUUAGUGAGUUUCCUAAAAUAGCACUCUAUUAGCCACUCGAGGCUAUAAUCUCUGUUGACUCUCUGGUCCGUGUGUCUUAGUGGGACCCUCCAGUCCCAACUCUCUGUGGGCCCUCUAGCCUUGACUUUAUGGAACCAAAGGCCCUAACUCUGAUAACUCUGAAUCAUGCAUAUCACAUAUCACAAUAAAUCUCAACACAUAAAUAGCAUACAAAUACACUGGCACGUAAUUCUGAAAAUACCACAUAUAGCACAUAUUAGCCACUCGAGGCUAGAACUCUGUGGGCCCUUGGGCCCUAACUCUGCGGACCGUCUGGUCCUAGCUCUGUGGACCUUCCGGUCCUAACUCUGAUAUACACACAGCAUAAAUCACAUAGAAAUAAUGCAGUGCCACACUUCAC
rnacentral:lncRNA from 1 species